rnacentral:rRNA from 1 species
UACGUAGGCGGAAUAUUAAGUCAGUGGUGAAAUCCUGCGGCUCAACCGUAGAACUGCCAUUGAUACUGAUAUUCUUGAAUGUAGUUGAGGUAGGCGGAAUGUGUAAUGUAGCGGUGAAAUGCUUAGAUAUUACACAGAACACCGAUUGCGAAGGCAGCUUACUAAACUAUGAUUGACGCUGAGGUACGAAAGCGUGGGGAGCGAACAGGAUUAGAUACCAUGGUAGUCC